rnacentral:rRNA from 1 species
CAGCAGCCGCGGGAAUACGGAGGGUGCAAGCGUUAAUCGGAAUUACUGGGCGUAAAGCGCACGCAGGCGGUCUGACAAGUCAGAUGUGAAAUCCCCGGGCUUAACCUGGGAACUGCAUUUGAAACUGUCAGGCUGGAGUCUUGUAGAGGGGGGUAGAAUUCCAGGUGUAGCGGUGAAAUGCGUAGAGAUCUGGAGGAAUACCGGUGGCGAAGGCGGCCCCCUGGACAAAGACUGACGCUCAGGUGCGAAAGCGUGGGGAGCAAACAGGAUUAGAUACCCGCGUAGACCCUGUCUCUUAUAC